ACUCCUACGGGAGGCAGCAGUAGGAAUUUCCGCAAUGGACGAAAGUCUGACGGAGCAAUGCCGCGUGAGUGAUGAAGGUUUUCGAAUCGUAAAGCUUUCUGAUGGAUAAGGGAAGAAUAGACAAGGAAAUAGGUAAUUGAUUCUUGUCUGGACGGAUACCUUACCAGAAAGCCACGGCUAACUACGUGCCAGCAGCCGCGGUAAUACGUAGGUGGCAAGCGUUAUCCGGAAUUAUUGGGCGUAAAGCGCAUGUAGGCGGCUCUUUAAGUCUGAUGUGAAAGCCUGUGGCUCAACCACAGAAUUGCAUUGGAUACUGGAGAGCUAGAAUCUUGGAGAGGUAAGUGGAAUUUCAUGUGUAGCGGUGGAAUGCGUAGAUAUAUGAAGGAACACCAAUGGCGAAGGCAGCUUACUGGACAAGUAUUGACGCUGAGAUGCGAAAGUGUGGUAGCAAACAGGAUUAGAUACCCU
rnacentral:rRNA from 1 species